AUUGAACGCUGGCGGCAGGCCUAGCACAUGCAAGUCGAGCGGAUGAGAGGAGCUUGCUUCUUGAUUCAGCGGCGGACGGGUGAGUAAUGCCUAGGAAUCUGCCUGGUAGUGGGGGACAACGUUUCGAAAGGAACGCUAAUACCGCAUACGUCCUACGGGAGAAAGCAGGGGACCUUCGGGCCUUGCGCUAUCAGAUGAGCCUAGGUCGGAUUAGCUAGUUGGUGAGGUAAUGGCUCACCAAGGCGACGAUCCGUAACUGGUCUGAGAGGAUGAUCAGUCACACUGGAACUGAGACACGGUCCAGACUCCUACGGGAGGCAGCAGUGGGGAAUAUUGGACAAUGGGCGAAGGCCUGAUCCAGCCAUGCCGCGUGUGUGAAGAAGGUCUUCGGAUUGUAAAGCACUUUAAGUUGGGAGGAAGGGUUGUACGUUAAUACCGUGCAAUUUUGACGUUACCGACAGAAUAAGCACCGGCUAACUCUGUGCCAGCAGCCGCAGUAAAAC
rnacentral:rRNA from 1 species